rnacentral:pre_miRNA from 1 species
UUUUAUGGAUGAGUAAAGAAAGUAGUUUCUGGAGAUGGAAACUUUUCCUGGUGAAGAUGCUGUGAA